CAAGUCGAGCGCUGAUUACAGGGUAGCAAUAUUCUGUAGUUGGAGCGGCGCAAGGGUGCGUAACACGUGGGUAAUCUGCCAUGAAGUCUGGAAUAACUUGCUGAAAGGCGAGCUAAUACCGGAUGUGAAAAUUGGAAGGCAUCUUUUGAUUUUCAAAGUUGGGGACCGUAAGGCCUGACGCUUCAUGAUGAGCCCGCGGCCUAUCAGCUAGUUGGUGAGGUAACGGCUCACCAAGGCUAAGACGGGUAGCUGGUCUGAGAGGACGACCAGCCACACUGGAACUGAGACACGGUCCAGACACCUACGGGUGGCAGCAGUCGAGAAUUUUUCACAAUGGGGGAAACCCUGAUGGAGCGACGCCGCGUGGGGGAUGAAUGGCUUCGGCCCGUAAACCCCUGUCAUUCGCGAACAAUGCCUGCGGCUUAAUACGUUGCAGGUUGAUAGUAGCGGAAGAGGAAGGGACGGCUAACUCUGUGCCAGCAGCCGCGGUAAUACAGAGGUCCCAAGCGUUGUUCGGAUUCACUGGGCGUAAAGGGUGCGUAGGUGGUCGGGUAAGUUUGAUGUGAAAUCUCCGGGCUUAACCCGGAAACUGCAUUGAAUACUAUUCGGCUGGAGGGUUGGAGGGGGGACUGGAAUUCUCGGUGUAGCAGUGAAAUGCGUAGAUAUCGAGAGGAACACCAGUGGCGAAGGCGAGUCCCUGGACAACUCCUGACACUAAGGCACGAAAGCUAGGGGAGCAAACAGGAUUAGAUACCCUGGUAGUCCUAGCCGUAAACGGUGCGUAUUUGCUGUAAAAGGAAUCGACCCCUUUUGUGGCGUAGCCAACGCGUUAAAAUACGCCGCCUGGGAAGUACGGUCGCAAGAUUAAAACUCAAAGAAAUUGACGGGGGCCUGCACAA
rnacentral:rRNA from 1 species